AUAAAAGUGUCUAAAGAGAAACAAAUGAGAUAAAAGGAUAAAGGAUACAUUGCCUUAUUUAUUUAUAUCCCAACCUUAUUACAAAAAGGCUUACAAGAUGCAGAUAUUAUAGUAAUAUAAAACGAUUAAAACUUAGAAAAAUGAGAAUAAGGAAAAUAAAAGUAGAAAAGGAAGACAGAACCAAGAACAUGACUAGCAUACAAAAUACAUAAACACUUGCUGAAGGUAGACCACAAAUUGGGCUCUAAAUGGUCUAGUAUCAGUACAAACAGAAAAAUACAAUCAGCUGAAUAUUUAGUGUCCUUAAGGUAAAAACCAAACAGCAAUUCAGGAAAAGCAUAACUGGGUCCAGAGAAAAUUUCUCCCACGCAUUCUUAAAUAGAAUAUUAUGAACUGUUACGAUAAACACCCUUUACAGUAUCCACAGCAAUUAAAUUUAUUUUUUUCCUGAGACAAGAUCUCACUCUGUUGCUCAGGCUGGAUGCAGUGGCACGAUCUUCACUCAUUGCAACCUCCAUCUCCUGGGUUCAAGCAAUUCUUCCCCCUCAGCCUCCUGAGUAGCUGGGACUACAGUGUGUGCCCUCAUGACCAGCUAAUUUUUGUAUUUUUUGGGGAGAAACGGGGUUUCACCAUGUUGGCCACGCUGGUCUCGAACUCUUGACCUCAACUGAUCUGCCCACCUUGGCCUCCCAAAUAACCUUAAAUCUUAAGGUUGAUGCAUGCCUCUUAAUCUCUUGGUUUGCCCAUCAGAAACUGAAUCAUGGGCUCACUAGGAGAAAUUGUCAGUUUAAAAAUCCUAUGCUUUUCAAAGAGGUUUUAUUUUGGAUAACUGUUGCAAUUAUAGACCUAGAGAAGACAUUUAACCCACCCAUGUUUCAGUUUCUAUUUUCUUCCUCACUAGAUUAUUUUAUUCACUUUUCAAUUUUUAAAAAUUAGAUUUAUUGCAGACUGGCCUCAAGCUCCCAGACUAUAUUUUUUAGCUGCAUUAUUUAGGGGUUGAAAUGCCAGCUUUUGAGACUUUUGAAAAAUUCACAGGCUGGGUGUGGAGGCUCAUGCCUGUGAAGGUUGCAGUGAGCUGAGAUCGUGCCACUGCACUCCAACCUGGGUGACGAGAGUGAGACCCUAUCUCAAAAAAAAAAAAAAAAAAAAAAAAAAAGGGUCUGGUGCAGUGGCUCACACCUACCUGUAAUUCCAGCACUUUGGGAGGCCAAGGCAGGCCGAUCACUUGAGGUCAGGAGUUUGAGAUCAGCCUGGCCAACAUGGUGAACCCUGUCUCUACUAAAAAAUACAAAAAUUAGCUGGGCAUAAUGGUGUGCAUUUGUAAUCCCAGCUACUCGGGAGGCUGAGGCAUGAAAAUCACUUCAACCCAGGAGACGGAGGUUGCAGUGAGCUGAGAACGCACCACUGCACUCCAGCCUGGGCAACAGAGUGAGACUCUGUCUCAAAAAAAAAAAAAAAAUUCAUAUUGCUUCUGACAAGCCUAUUAAACACAUCAAUAGCACCCUGGGAGCCCAUGAAGUAUUAUUAUUGCUCAAGAAAGGAAACAUGGCAGAGAAACAAGCAGAAGCAGCUCUGGCUGACAGCCUGAGGGUAAAGAGCACUGGAGAAGUAAAGAAAAGGAAAAGGUCACCACCCUGAUCUGACAUGUUGAAUUGAGAGGUAGGUUGUAUGAUAGGGAAGGAAUAGGGCCAGCUGUGGCUGCCAGUAGCAGAAUGUCCAGGUUGGAACUCUGGUCUAAAGCCUAGGAGAGCAGAACGGUAAGAGGCUACAAAAUAAAAACAAACUGGAUUAUCAAGGUGGUCAUACUGAGUAGGCAGGGAUGGAGAUCUUCAGGCUCCCAGCCGGGCCCCAAUUUACAGUAGAGAGGCUCAAGCAGGGAUAGGGUAGAGCAAGAAGGACUCCAGAUCACAGUCAAAGUCGUCAAAGGGCAUGGUCUCCGCUGAACUGGGCUGGGUAGCUUGUGUCUCCGUGACAAAGUUCACUGGCUGCUUCUGUAGGAGCUCUGGGUCGAAGGCCACACCCCGAAAGAAAGGGUGGACCUGGAAGUGAUGCAGAUAACGUAGACGAUGGAGGGGGUUCUGGCAUAAGAGCUGAAGGAAAAUAGAGCAUGAAGGAUGAGUGACUAGGACAGGACAGGCCUGAACAGAAAGGAUGGAAAAGAAGAAAGAAGUUCAUGGAGCUGUGGAGGGUAGGAAUAAGAACCCUGAAGAGUAGAUGAUUUGUAAAAGAGGGAGAAAUAGAGGCUAAUUUGGGGCAAAGGUGGGAAUAAGGAGCUGUGCUUGUGAGUUUUCAGAUGAGUGUACAGUGUUCCACUCUCUCAGAAGGGACCUCUCUGUUCUAGAUGGGGAGGAGAUUUGGGGGACCAGGAACUUAGGAAUGUGACUCAGUACAGCUUAGAUGGCAAGUAGUUAGGUAGUUAAGUUGGAGCCCCCUCAAAAAAACUGAUGAGAGGAAUGGGGAAAAAUCACUUUAAUGAAGGCAGGAGAGCAUUAAUGGUUUCGUAGCCAAGAAGGAAAGCAGUGCUCAUCCUUACCUCAUGGAGCAGGAGUGAGAGGCCCUGGUUAAGAGAAGCUGGGAUCUCAGAGUCACUGUGGGUCACACUUGCCAACAUGGCCACAUGAUCUCUCUCUGCAGCCACUGGAAACUGAGUUAAGAGGUAGGGAGUGGAGGUAGGGGUAGGGGUUCAUUCCUUAGUAGGAAUACGGCAAGAUUUCCUAAGGUCUUCCUUCUUCCCACCACAAGGCAAAGCUCUUCUCUGCCCAAAACUACUACUAUUCUCUCACCUUUCCAGUCGCCAGAGAGAAAAGCAAGACACCCAGGGACCACCAAUCAGCAGCAUGGUUGUAAGGUCCUCCACUUAGGACCUCUGGGGCUACAGAUUUCAAAGAUACUCAUCACAGACAUCCUUUAGCUAUC
rnacentral:lncRNA from 1 species